CACGUAGGGGGCAAGCGUUGUCCGGAUUUAUUGGGCGUAAAGAGCUCGUAGGCGGUUCGGUAAGUCGGGUGUGAAACCUCCAGGCUCAACCUGGAGACGCCACCCGAUACUGCUGUGGCUAGAGUCCGGUAGGGGAGCGUGGAAUUCCUGGUGUAGCGGUGAAAUGCGCAGAUAUCAGGAGGAACACCAGCGGCGAAGGCGGCGCUCUGGGCCGGAACUGACGCUGAGGAGCGAAAGCGUGGGGAGCAAACAGG
rnacentral:rRNA from 1 species